rnacentral:misc_RNA from 1 species
GAUGAAGAACGUAGCGAAAUGCGAUAAGUAAUGUGAAUUGCAGAAUUCAGUGAAUCAUCGAAUCUUUGAACGCACAUUGCGCCCGGUAGUAUUCUGCCGGGCAUGCCUGUCCGAGCGUCAUUUCAACCAUCAAGCCCCAGCGCUUGUGUUGGGGGCCUGCGGCUGCCGCAGCCCCCUAAAAGCAGUGGCGGGCUCGCUAUCACACCGAGUGCAGUAGUUCAUCUUCUCUCCGGUCUUGUGAGGCGGGUUCCGGCCGUGAAACACCCCACUACAUUCAAGGUUGACCUCGGAUCAGGUAGGAAUACCCGCUGAACUUAAGCAUAUCAAUAAGCGGAGGA